AGACUAAGGAAAGAGUAGUUUUGCCCAUAGCCUCCUAUAAAACGGUCUCUCCUGCUUGGUUUGAUAAGCAAUUUGAUAAGUUUGCUAUUUCUGAAAGCUUUAUUCUCGCUGUCGUUUCUGAAGAUAGUACUGUUUGUUAUCACGAAGUUCUCAAGG